rnacentral:tRNA from 1 species
AGAAGUUUAGGUUAAACAGACCAGUGACCUUCAAAGUCUCAAGAAAAUGUAAUCAUUUAACUUCUG